rnacentral:sRNA from 1 species
CAAUAAAUAGCUUUCUUAGUGUUUCUAUGGUCAAAAUGUGUCACAAUCCAAAGCAUUUGACAAAUUAUAAGAGUUAUAGAUGGAUUAGGAGUGUUUAGACAACACUUAUACCUAUUUUCUCCUAAAAUAGGCU